rnacentral:rRNA from 1 species
AGUGAACGCUGGCGGCGUGCCUAAUACAUGCAAGUCGAACGGAGUGGCGCACGGGUGUGUAAUGUAUAGCUAAUCUGCCCUACACUAGAGGACAACAGUUGGAAACGGCUGCUAAUACUCCAUAGUGUAGGAGGAGGCUAUAUUGUAUCAGCUAGUUGUUGAGGUAAUGGUUCAUCAAGGCUAUGACGCAUAACUGGUCUGAGAGGAUGAUCAGUCACACUGGAACUGAGACACGGUCCAGACUCCUACGGGAGGGAGCAGUAGGGAAUAUUGCACAAUGGGGGAAACCCUGAAGCAGCAACGCCGCGUGGGGGAUGACACUUGUCGGAGCGUAAACUCCUUUUGGUAGGGAAGCGGUACCUAACGAGUAAGCACCGGCUAACUCCGUGCCAGCAGCCGCGGUAAUUC